GGAAGCGGAACCUAUAGCCUGUCACUGCUCAGUCUUCUGGAUUCAGUCCCUUUUUCCAGGGGUAUGUAUGGGGGUCUACGUACCCCUUUGCCAGAGUUGCAGCUGCUUUUGCCAAGAAGCCUGGGUAUCUAAGUUUCUUGGGGCUCUGCAUGUGCCUGAGUGGCUGCUCUGCUGAGACUCCACAUAAUUCUGUGUGUCAGACUGAAGACCCUUGUGGAGUGAGUUCAUGAAAAAGGCAGAAGAAAUCAGAGAGAAGGAUGGAGUGGGGAAAAGAAGAGGGAGGCUGACAGAGAAGCUUAAAGAAAUGCUUUCAGAUGGCAACAAAAGCCAAAAUAGACAAAUGGGAUUUAAUUAAACGAAAGAGUUUCUGCACAGCAAAAUAAACUAUCAUCAGAGUGAACAGGCAACCUACCGAAUGGGAGAAAAUUCUCACAAUCUACCCAUUUGACAAAAGGCUAAUAUCCAGAAUCUACAAAGAACUUAAACAAAUUUGAAAGAAAAAAAACAAUCCCAUCAAAAAGUGGGCAAAGGAUAUGAACAGACACUUCUCAAAAGAAGACAUUUAUGCAGCCAACAGACAUAUGAAAAAAUGCUCAUCAUCACUGGUCAUCAGAGAAAUGCAAAUCAAAACCACAAUGAGACACCAUCUCACGCCAGUUAGAAUGGCAAUCAUUAAGAAGUCAGGAAACAACAGAUGCUGGAGAGGAUGUGAAGAAAUAGGAACGCUUUUACACUGUUGGUGGGAGUGCGAAUUAGUACAACCAUUGUGGAAGACAGUGUGGUGAUUCCUCAAGGAUCUAGAACUAGAAAUACCAUUUGACCCAGCAAUCCCAUUACUGGGUAUAUACCCAAAGGAUUAUAAGUCACGCUACUACAAAGACACAUGCACACGUAUGUUUAUUUUGGCACUAUUCACCAUAGCAAAGACUUGGAGCCAACCCAAACGUACAUCAAUAAUAGACUGGAUAAAGAAAAUGUGGCACAUAUACACCAUGGAAUACUAUGCAGCCACAAAAAAGGAUGAGUUCAUGUCCUUUGCAGGGACAUGGAUGAAGCUGGAAACCAUCAUUCUCAGCAAAAUACCACGAGGACAGAAAACCAAACACUGCAUGUUCUCACUUAUAAGUGGAAAUUGAACAAUGAGAACACAUGGACACAGACAGGGGAACAUCACAUGUGGGGGCCUGCUCGGGGGUGGGGGGCUUGGGGAGGGAUAGCGUUAGGAGAAAUACCUAAUGUAAAUGAGGAGUUGAUGGGUGCAGCAAACCAACAUGGCACAUGUAUACCUAUGUAACAAACCUGCACGUUGUGCACAUGUAACCUAAAACUUAAAGUAUAACUAAAAAAAAAAAAAAAAAAAAAGAAAGAUAAAGAGUUGUGCUUCAGAAAAAAAAAAUGCUUUCAGGAUUGCCUCUUCAGACAUGGUUACAAUACAUAUACUCAGUUUUCUUUAUUAACUGGACCAGAUUAAUCUUCAUUAAACUGACUGAACUAGUAAUCUUUUAAUUUUAUGUCAUCAGACAUAAACAUUUUUCUUUUUUUUCGUUUUGCAUUAGCUUAAAUUGGUUUACCUCUCCUGAUAGUCUCCCUAUACCCUUUUUCUUUGUCCUUUAUACUCCAAGUAAAUUGUAUACCAUAUGUGGGAUCAAAUGGGGAGUAAAGUAUCCUCCAUCCUCCUGUCCUCAUUUGCUGUAAACCAGUGUAAAUUCUUACUUGUGCAUCUACAAUCUGUAUUAUUGGGUAUGUUCUUAAUGUAAUCUUUGUUCAGCUGAUAGUUUAUUUCAAAUUAUGAAAUCUGUUUAUAUCAUUACUUGUUUUUCCUAUGACAUGUAGUUUUUCACAAUAGCAAAGAGUUGAUGUGAUUUUUGUAGAUAUGCU
rnacentral:lncRNA from 1 species